UUAAGCGACUAAGCGUACACGGUGGAUGCCCUGGCAGUCAGAGGCGAUGAAGGACGUGCUAAUCUGCGAUAAGCGUCGGUGAGGUGAUAUGAACCGUUAUAACCGGCGAUUUCCGAAUGGGGAAACCCAGUGUGUUUCGACACACUAUCAUUAACUGAAUCCAUAGGUUAAUGAGGCGAACCGGGGGAACUGAAACAUCUAAGUACCCCGAGGAAAAGAAAUCAACCGAGAUUCCCCCAGUAGCGGCGAGCGAACGGGGAGGAGCCCAGAGCCUGAAUCAGUGUGUGUGUUAGUGGAAGCGUCUGGAAAGGCGUGCGAUACAGGGUGACAGCCCCGUACACAAAAAUGCACAUAUUGUGAGCUCGAUGAGUAGGGCGGGACACGUGGUAUCCUGUCUGAAUAUGGGGGGACCAUCCUCCAAGGCUAAAUACUCCUGACUGACCGAUAGUGAACCAGUACCGUGAGGGAAAGGCGAAAAGAACCCCGGCGAGGGGAGUGAAAAAGAACCUGAAACCGUGUACGUACAAGCAGUGGGAGCCUCUUAAUGGGGGGACUGCGUACCUUUUGUAUAAUGGGUCAGCGACUUAUAUUCUGUAGCAAGGUUAACCGAAUAGGGGAGCCGAAGGGAAACCGAGUCUUAACUGGGCGUUAAGUUGCAGGGUAUAGACCCGAAACCCGGUGAUCUAGCCAUGGGCAGGUUGAAGGUUGGGUAACACUAACUGGAGGACCGAACCGACUAAUGUUGAAAAAUUAGCGGAUGACUUGUGGCUGGGGGUGAAAGGCCAAUCAAACCGGGAGAUAGCUGGUUCUCCCCGAAAGCUAUUUAGGUAGCGCCUCGUGAAUUCAUCUCCGGGGGUAGAGCACUGUUUCGGCAAGGGGGUCAUCCCGACUUACCAACCCGAUGCAAACUGCGAAUACCGGAGAAUGUUAUCACGGGAGACACACGGCGGGUGCUAACGUCCGUCGUGAAGAGGGAAACAACCCAGACCGCCAGCUAAGGUCCCAAAGUCAUGGUUAAGUGGGAAACGAUGUGGGAAGGCCCAGACAGCCAGGAUGUUGGCUUAGAAGCAGCCAUCAUUUAAAGAAAGCGUAAUAGCUCACUGGUCGAGUCGGCCUGCGCGGAAGAUGUAACGGGGCUAAACCAUGCACCGAAGCUGCGGCAGCGACACUAUGUGUUGUUGGGUAGGGGAGCGUUCUGUAAGCCUGUGAAGGUGGCCUGUGAGGGUUGCUGGAGGUAUCAGAAGUGCGAAUGCUGACAUAAGUAACGAUAAAGCGGGUGAAAAGCCCGCUCGCCGGAAGACCAAGGGUUCCUGUCCAACGUUAAUCGGGGCAGGGUGAGUCGACCCCUAAGGCGAGGCCGAAAGGCGUAGUCGAUGGGAAACAGGUUAAUAUUCCUGUACUUGGUGUUACUGCGAAGGGGGGACGGAGAAGGCUAUGUUGGCCGGGCGACGGUUGUCCCGGUUUAAGCGUGUAGGCUGGUUUUCCAGGCAAAUCCGGAAAACCAAGGCUGAGGCGUGAUGACGAGGCACUACGGUGCUGAAGCGACAAAUGCCCUGCUUCCAGGAAAAGCCUCUAAGCAUCAGGUAACAUCAAAUCGUACCCCAAACCGACACAGGUGGUCAGGUAGAGAAUACCAAGGCGCUUGAGAGAACUCGGGUGAAGGAACUAGGCAAAAUGGUGCCGUAACUUCGGGAGAAGGCACGCUGAUAUGUAGGUGAAGCGACUUGCUCGUGGAGCUGAAAUCAGUCGAAGAUACCAGCUGGCUGCAACUGUUUAUUAAAAACACAGCACUGUGCAAACACGAAAGUGGACGUAUACGGUGUGACGCCUGCCCGGUGCCGGAAGGUUAAUUGAUGGGGUUAGCGGCAACGCGAAGCUCUUGAUCGAAGCCCCGGUAAACGGCGGCCGUAACUAUAACGGUCCUAAGGUAGCGAAAUUCCUUGUCGGGUAAGUUCCGACCUGCACGAAUGGCGUAAUGAUGGCCAGGCUGUCUCCACCCGAGACUCAGUGAAAUUGAACUCGCUGUGAAGAUGCAGUGUACCCGCGGCAAGACGGAAAGACCCCGUGAACCUUUACUAUAGCUUGACACUGAACAUUGAGCCUUGAUGUGUAGGAUAGGUGGGAGGCUUUGAAGUGUGGACGCCAGUCUGCAUGGAGCCGACCUUGAAAUACCACCCUUUAAUGUUUGAUGUUCUAACGUUGGCCCGUAAUCCGGGUUGCGGACAGUGUCUGGUGGGUAGUUUGACUGGGGCGGUCUCCUCCUAAAGAGUAACGGAGGAGCACGAAGGUUGGCUAAUCCUGGUCGGACAUCAGGAGGUUAGUGCAAUGGCAUAAGCCAGCUUGACUGCGAGCGUGACGACGCGAGCAGGUGCGAAAGCAGGUCAUAGUGAUCCGGUGGUUCUGAAUGGAAGGGCCAUCGCUCAACGGAUAAAAGGUACUCCGGGGAUAACAGGCUGAUACCGCCCAAGAGUUCAUAUCGACGGCGGUGUUUGGCACCUCGAUGUCGGCUCAUCACAUCCUGGGGCUGAAGUAGGUCCCAAGGGUAUGGCUGUUCGCCAUUUAAAGUGGUACGCGAGCUGGGUUUAGAACGUCGUGAGACAGUUCGGUCCCUAUCUGCCGUGGGCGCUGGAGAACUGAGGGGGGCUGCUCCUAGUACGAGAGGACCGGAGUGGACGCAUCACUGGUGUUCGGGUUGUCAUGCCAAUGGCACUGCCCGGUAGCUAAAUGCGGAAGAGAUAAGUGCUGAAAGCAUCUAAGCACGAAACUUGCCCCGAGAUGAGUUCUCCCUGACUCCUUGAGAGUCCUGAAGGAACGUUGAAGACGACGACGUUGAUAGGCCGGGUGUGUAAGCGCAGCGAUGCGUUGAGCUAACCGGUACUAAUGAACCGUGAGGCUUAACCUU
rnacentral:rRNA from 1 species